rnacentral:rRNA from 1 species
GACGAACGCUGGCGGCGUGCUUAACACAUGCAAGUCGAACGGUAAGGCCCUUCGGGGUACACGAGUGGCGAACGGGUGAGUAACACGUGGGUGAUCUGCCCUGCGCUUCGGGAUAAGCCUGGGAAACUGGGUCUAAUACCGGAUAGGACCACGCGCUUCACGGUGUGUGGUGGAAAGCUUUUGCGGUGUGGGAUGGGCCCGCGGCCUGUCAGCUUGUGGGUGGGGUAAUGGCAUACCAAGGCGACGACGGGUAGCCGGCCUGAGAGGGUGACCGGCCACACUGGGACUGAGAUACGGCCCAGACUCCUACGGGAGGCAGCAGUGGGGAAUAUUGCACAAUGGGCGCAAGCCUGAUGCAGCGACGCCGCGUGAGGGAUGACGGCCUUCGGGUUGUAAACCUCUUUCAGUAGGGACGAAGCGCAAGUAACGGUACCUACAGAAGAAGGACCGGCCAACUACGUGCCAGCCGCCGCGGUAA